AAUUAAUCGAUUCAAGAAUGCUUUAUAAUAUGCUCUUAGCUUUCGAAAUUGAAUUUUUGGGAAUUUUUCCCCAACAAAAAAUAUUUUUCCAUUUUUACAAAAAGUUUUAAAAUGUGUUUGCUAAGGUGCUUUUGAACUUGAUUAAUUAUUUUAUGAGAUAAUUUAGAAUUAAUUGAUGAUGCUUUGUGUGUGCUUAUAUAUGUUUAUGUAUGUUGGUGUAGUCUAGUUUUAUAUGAGUGAUAAGUCGAGAGUAGGAUUUUUGUUUACUUAGGAAGUCUAGUUGAUAUGAGAAUGAUAUAAGUUGGAGCGAAGUGAUGAGAAGCGAUAGAAUAAUACUAAGAUAAGAGUAGUAUUGUUUGUGAGGAAGUCUUCUGACUUAUUUUAUCUUACCUCAUGGACCAUCUAUGUCGACCAUGAUAUUCGAAGAAACGAGCAGAGGACGAAAAUCAGUUACGACAAGUAUCGAGGAAAGUAAGCUAAAGACUUCAGGUGGGCAUUAUUUUAAUACCCCCUAUAUACAGGCUUUCUUAAAUGAUAUGAUACUUAUGAGUAUGAUUGAGUUAAAAUUUUGAUUAAUGUUGUUGACUUGCCAUGCCUUUAUUAUUAUAUGUUGUAUGUUGCCUCGGCAAAUGAUAUUUGUGAUGAUGAUGAUACGAUAUCGGCCCUACAUAUCAGUUGGGUUAUUGUGUACACGGAUGUUGACCGUGAGCCGUCUUUCAGUCGGCCGGUCAUGGUGUUGAGAAGAAGGCCAACUUCUCUUCACCCGAUGUUUAUUAUUGUUUUGCCGCAUUAAGGAUAAGCGAGGAAGCAGAAUGGUCUGGUGCUGGCGAGGAUUUUUUUCAGAUGUUUAUGUUGUACCGUAUUUCAAUUACAUACGGUAGCUUUUUGAUGUCGAAGUUUAUAUUUUGGACUUAGUCAAGAAGUAUACUCUCGGCUAUAUGUCUUCAUACAUAUAGUCUGUUCACGUUUUGUUGCGAGACUCUGUAAAUUAUGAACCUUUGUGAAUAUUUAACUAUGUCCGCUUUGUAAACUUUGUCGAGAAUCCCUGUACUUUUGAAUUUACAAAGCCGAUAAUAUUUGUGUCUU